rnacentral:tRNA from 6 species
GGGCCGUUAGCACAGUUGGUAGCGCGCUUCCAUGGCAUGGAAGAGGUCGCCGGUUCGAAUCCGGCACGGUCCA